UACGGGGGGGGCAAGCGUUGUUCGGAAUUACUGGGCGUAAAGGGCUCGUAGGCGGCCAACUAAGUCAGACGUGAAAUCCCUCGGCUUAACCGGGGAACUGCAUCUGAUACUGGAUGGCUUGAGUUCGGGAGAGGGAUGCGGAAUUCCAGGUGUAGCGGUGAAAUGCGUAGAUAUCAGGAAGAACACCUAUGGCGAAGGCAGCUCUCUGGGACGGUUCUGACGCUGAGACGCGAAAGCGUGGGGAGCGAACAGG
rnacentral:rRNA from 1 species